GGGCUGGCACUCGGGCGGCCGCGGCGCGAUGGAGGCGCCGGCCGAGCUGCUGGCCGCGCUGCCCGCGCUGGCCACCGCGCUGGCGCUGCUGCUCGCCUGGCUCCUGGUGCGGCGCGGGGCGGCCGCGAGCCCGGAGCCCACCGGCGCGCCCCCAGAGCCCGCGCCCCCGGAGCCCGCGCCCCCGGAGCCCGCGCCCCCGGCCGAGACCGGCGGGACCCCCGCGCCGCCCGGGCCCUGCGCCCCCGAGCUGGCGGCCGCGCCCGAGCGGCCGGGGGAGCCCAACGGACAGGGGGAGCCCGCGGGGCCGGCGGAGGCGGAGGAGCAGGCGGCGGAGGCGAGGCAGGAGGAGGAGCAGGAGCAGGACGGCGAGGAGGGCCCACCCCAAGCAGGACCUGAAGAAGAAGACGGAGGAGAGGCCUUCUCCUUUAAGUACAGCCCUGGGAAGCUGCGGGGAAACCAGUACAAGAAGAUGAUGACCAAGGAGGAGCUGGAGGAGGAACAGAGGAUUGAGCUGACCUCUGACCUCACUUCCCUGUAGCAAGUUCCUUAGGUCCUGAGCCUCAAAUAUUCUUGCAAAUCCUUUUGGCACUCCCAUCCUUGGAACUGCUCACAGAUCGGACUCCUUCCGCACUGGGGGCAGAAAAUGCUGAGAACUGAAGACUAAUGAAGUUGUCCUUAGCCUCCUCCCAAGGCUUUUCCUUUGGGCAUCUUAAAAGCUUGAGAGAUAAAACGGAAACCCCCAGAGAGGAGCCAUGCGGGCUCCGGGGCGCGUCUUGCCUCCAUAAGUCCACUGGGACAUAGACCCUCAGUAGGGCUUUGCCCUUGGCUGGGACGACCCAGGAAUGGCCUUGGCGCCCCCAGUGUAAGGUGUUCCCCGUUGUGUGGAUUGCUUUGUUAAGCUGAAGGGUUGUAAGAGUUUGAUCUCACAUCCUGGACUUCGAUUUUUCUUAUCACUCAACCUUGCUCCCCACACACCCUUCACACCUGAGGUAUGGCCAUUGUCAGCAACUUCCUCAUUUAAAAUCAGUAUAGUUUCAUUCCAGCCCUCCUGCUUUUUCGUUCACUGAAGCCAAACCGUGAAAGACUGUGAGGUGCGAUGGGCAAAUGAGAUGGAGCUGCGUGUGCUCACUAGCUGGGUCAGGCCGGGUCGACGGCCCUCCUUUCCCUUGGGGCUCACUCCCCCCUCUCUCUGGCUGGCUCGGGUGUCGGGGGAGAGACGCCAUAUUGAUGACGGGCGCAAAGGACCAGUGCCAGCUAUCGAUUCCCAUUGUCCUUGUCUCUCACUUAGGGGAGACUCGAAUCCGGCCCUCUUGUUGCUAAGAGGCCUUUUCACCCAUGUUCUUACCAGCUCAGCCGAAUCUCCACCUUCGCUUUGGCAGAAGCAAUAAUAAUAGUGUUCGCUUAAAAUAGAUUUCUUGACGACGCCUUCUCCUAGAAGGAUUCAUAGAUGAGUUAGAACCUCACCAGAUAAUCAAAUCAGUCCCAGAUUUGUUUCUUGGAAUUUUAUAUUUGACAAUAUUUAUACUAUACCAAACUAAUCUGCAGUUUUUAGAUGUGUUGAUGAAAACAUUUUUUUUUAAGCAAUAAGUUUAUAGAAAUUUUUUUCCAUUUAAUGGAAGGCUGAGAAAUGUCCAAGGUCAACCCCUAGGGCAGUUCGUUUCCAGUGACCUUCUCCUCUGGGCCUAAUACCCUAGGUUCAGGGACUUAGGGCAGAGCAGGCAGUGAAGGAACAGGCACACGGAGCUCCGUGACAAAUAGAUGCAUUCUGUGAGCCAGGUGUCCCCACACAGCAAUAGUAAUGUCCUCCACGCUGGGAUCUCAUUGAUACAAUAGGAGGUGACUCCCUCCAGGCUAGUUAUCUAAGUUCAUCUGGAAACUCUCUGAACGUGGCUCGUAGGCUCCGAGCCUCCCGUGCUCCUGGGCUGGGAUCUGUGUGUCAGCCUUUUUGUUCAGUCCAAUAAACUUUGAGUAGCUGAUCUUGA